UGAAGAAUGAGAAAAACUACAGGCUAACUGGUAAUCUAAUACCAGAGACACUCACAGCAUGGACACGUCUGGAAACGUUACAUACUCCAAUGAAGAACGUGUGUAUGAAAACCCAUUUAGCAGUGGGAAAGAAGACAAUAUGGGACAAUAUAUUUAUGUAAAUGAUAGCUUUAUUGACCCUAAUGAUAAAGUAGCGAUCAAGACCAUCCAAAAAGGACCAGGACCAGGACCAGUUGUUCCUUUGAGUUCAUCGUGGAGAGCUGCAGCAGUGUGUCUGGGGCUGCUGUGUGCUCUCCUACUGGCUGGGGUCGUAACACUGGGAGUCAUCUUCACCAAAGUUGAUGAACAUAAAACCAUAAAAACUAUGGAGAGAGACCAACUACAGACCAGUUACACCAACCUGACCAAAGAGAGAGACCAACUACAGACCAGUAACACCAACCUGGCCAGAGAGAGAGAUGAACUUAAGAGAAAGCUGUGUGAUGAAUAUGGAUGGAGCAGAUUUAACAGCAGCUGUUACUACAUCUCCAUGGAGAUGAAAAGCUGGGAGGAGAGCAGAAAGGACUGUAUCAGAAGAGGGGCAGACCUGGUGAUCAUUAACAGCAUAGAGGAGAUGAAACCUAGGCAGUGUCUGGUUGGGUCUGACUGAUGACGUUCCACCAACGUUCUACCGUCAGUGGACCUGGGUGGACGGAACACCUCUGGAUCCGGCCAAAACAUACUGGGCAUCAGGAGAACCACAAAUCCCUCCCUACUAUGGUCCCAGCUGUGUUGAGCGAUGGAAACCUGAUCAGCCGGCUAACAGAAGCC